GGGCACCGACCAGGGUGUAAGCCUUCGGUCUCUGGAGCCGGGGGUCGUGGGUUCGAAUCCCACCGGGCCCA
rnacentral:tRNA from 2 species